rnacentral:rRNA from 1 species
UACGUAGGGGGCAAGCGUUGUCCGGAAUUAUUGGGCGUAAAGAGCGCGUAGGCGGUCCGAUAAGUCGGCUGUGAAAGUCAGGGCUCAACCCUUGAAAGCCGGCCGAUACUGUCGGACUAGAGUCCGGAAGAGGCAAGUGGAAUUCCCGGUGUAGCGGUGAAAUGACGCAGAUAUCAGGAAGAACACCCGUGGCGAAGGCGGCUCUCUGGGACGGUACUGACGCUGAGACGCGAAAGCGUGGGGAGCGAACAGG